AUGAGUUCGAUUGGAAGGGGUGCUGGUUGUGCAAAUGGAGUUGAUGCUGCUGUUGUAGCUUUGGCCAAGGUGUCGCUAAUUAAUUGUGAAGGCAGUGAUGGGGAUGCAGGUAUUUCAUCGUCAGAUGUUAACAAUUUGAUCAUGCAUUCUUGCCGUGACAUCAAUGCCGAGCAUGUUGCGCCCAAUUCCCCACUGCCGUGCAACAUGGGUGUGCCUCCCAAUGUUGAACCAUGUAGAGCUUUCGUUGAUGCUCAUGAGAGGAAGAAGCGGUUGAGGCUCCCCAAAGGUGUAGUUGAUUCCUCAAAUGUCACCAGCAAUUCUCAUGUUCCAGAUGCAUGUGCUGGAGUCCAUGUGCAAGUUGGCACAUCACUGGAUGUCUCUGCUAGUCUGAAUGUAACUGCAAACGUGGGUUUGGUGAGUGAAGGCGGCCCUCCAGUAUCUUCUAGCCAAGGGAAGCGCGGGGUAGUUGUUGCAAACAUUAAGCAUGGACUUCGUGGCACCCAUCCCACCAGUGGUGUAGCCAGUAAAAUUGUUGAUCCAUCUCCACAUCGAAGUCCACGCAUUGCCAGUGGUCCAGUGGUUGAUCGUGUCUAUCCUAGUGUUAAGCUUGAUGGAAAGCAUGUUUCUUGCGAGGGAUCAGAGGCUGGAGGUGGUUGUAGAGGACCUUCUGUUGAUGGCACUGGGCUCGACGGGAAUGAUGUUGUUCCUAGAAAGCGUCAGCCCAAGGUUGUUGGGAGUGGACCAAAGAAGAAAGCGGCAAAGUCCACGGCGUCAAAUGCUGGUGCUUGUGAUAGGAUCAAUGUAACUGUUCGCUGUUCUUUGGGAGAGGUUUCUGAGGUAGUUGCUCUGCUUGAGACACGACAUAAAGAUAUUGUUCGUAAUGCUGGUUUUGGCUGUGUAUUUGACUGGGUUCUGAAGGGCAAUGUGUCGUGCCUUCUGAUGUGUCACGUUAUGAAGAAUAUUGACACAACCACGAUGUGCAUUGACUGUGGCCCUAAUAAAGUUCUUGUAGUCAGCAGAGAAACCAUGCAUCUGUGUUUUCGGUUCCCGAUGGGUGAUGACAUAGCUCCCAGACCAUCUGAUAGUGGCCAUGACGAGUCAAUGGCUAGAUUUAAGGCGGAGUUGGGUUUCAGCAAAGCUUCUGUGGUUGACACAAAAGACCUGAGGACUGUGUUGAAGGAGCUUGUAGUCGAUGAGUCAAAGGAUGUGCUUGUUGUAAAGAAUGAAGAUGUAGCCUUUAAAGUACAAAAAUCUAGUAACGCCAUGGAAGAUGAUGGUGUAUUUGAGAAGAUUGAUGAUUUUUUAUGGAAGGUGAAUGAGUUGGCUGCUGAAGUUCCCACGACGUUUGAUCGUCUGAGCUGCAUUGCUGGCAUUUUUCCUGAAGGCCAUGGACCAAGAGAAGAAUCAAUGAAGGAGGCUACAGAGCGUGAUGUUGCUAUCAUUGGUAGUCUUCGGAGUGCGACAUCACACAUUCGCACUGCUUUUAACCAUUUGAAGAAGAAACAAGAUGCGAUAUGCAAAGGCAUUGAAAAUGAUGCUCGUAUUAUUGUGAGUCAGAUUAGCAAGCAGAAGAAUGACGCGUCUACCCCCGUUUUUUAUGAUGAUUAUACUGGUCAAUGGGGUGAGGAGAUUAGCAAGCAGAAGAAUGAGGCGUCAGCCCCCGUGCGUGAUGAUGAUUAUACUGGUCAACGGGGUGAGGAGGUUGUUGUUGAUGCAUCAGAUGACGAUGAAGAUGAUAAGCAAGAGCCCCCUGUUGAAUCUCCUCCGCAUGAUUUUAGUGAUGACUACGUCAAUGAUGAUGAUUGUUUUGGUGGUGAUCCCGAUGGCAGUUGUAAUGGUGUUGAUGACAAUGUUGAUUAUACUAAGGGAGUUUUUGCACCAGACCAGCAUGUAGCUGAAGGUGAUUGCGACUAA
rnacentral:rRNA from 1 species